UCUAGGUUACUUGACACAGUAGUGUAAAUACAACUAUCAGGUCUGGGAAGUAGAACCAGAGAACAGGGAUGAAUUCUGAACAGUCCAAGAAGUAUUUCUUAGACAAGAGUAAAAAUGAUGACCAAGAUUGGACCAGGAUUAUAAUAAAUGAUAUUAAAUGUUUUAAUUUGU